rnacentral:rRNA from 1 species
AUUAGAUGAGCCUAAAUCAGAUUAGCUAGUUGGUGGGGUAAAGGCCCACCAAGGCGACGAUCUGUAACUGGUCUGAGAGGAUGAUCAGUCACACCGGAACUGAGACACGGUCCGGACUCCUACGGGAGGCAGCAGUGGGGAAUAUUGGACAAUGGGGGCAACCCUGAUCCAGCCAUGCCGCGUGUGUGAAGAAGGCCUUUUGGUUGUAAAGCACUUUAAGCAGGGAGGAGAGGCUAAUGGUUAAUACCCAUUAGAUUAGACGUUACCUGCAGAAUAAGCACCGGCUAACUCUGUGCCAGCAGCCGCGGUAAUACAGAGGGUGCGAGCGUUAAUCGGAAUUACUGGGCGUAAAGCGAGUGUAGGUGGCUCAUUAAGUCACAUGUGAAAUCCCCGGGCUUAACCUGGGAACUGCAUGUGAU